AUCCAACUGACGAGUCCCAAAUAGGACGAAACGCGUGUCCUCGAU
rnacentral:hammerhead_ribozyme from 1 species